AGAGUUUGAUCCUGGCUCAGGAUGAACGCUAGCGGGCAGGCCUAAUACAUGCAAGCCGGACGGCAAGCUUGGUAGCAAUAUCGAGCCUAGAGUGGCGUAAGGGUGCGUAACACGUAUGCAAUCUGCCCGCAACAGGAGGAUAGCUCCCCGAAAGGGGAAUUAACCCUCCAUAGGAUCACACGAAGGCAUCUGAGAGUGAUUAAACCAAAAGGGGUUGCGGAUGAGCAUGCGGUUGAUUAGCUAGUUGGCGGGGUAACGGCCCACCAAGGCGAUGAUCAAUAGGGGAACUGAGAGGUUUAUCCCCCACACUGGCACUGAGAUACGGGCCAGACUCCUACGGGAGGCAGCAGUAGGGAAUAUUGGACAAUGGGCGAGAGCCUGAUCCAGCCAUGCCGCGUGCAGGAAGAAGGCCUUCUGGGUUGUAAACUGCUUUUGCCAGGGGAUAAAAAGACCCGUGCGCGGGGAAUUGAAGGUACCUGGUGAAUAAGCCACGGCUAACUACGUGCCAGCAGCCGCGGUAAUACGUAGGUGGCAAGCGUUGUCCGGAUUUAUUGGGUUUAAAGGGUGCGUAGGCGGUUCUAUAAGUCAGUGGUGAAAUACGGCAGCUCAACUGUCGAGGUGCCAUUGAUACUGCAGAACUUGAGUACAGACGAGGUAGGCGGAAUUGACGGUGUAGCGGUGAAAUGCUUAGAUAUCGUCAAGAACACCGAUAGCGAAGGCAGCUUACUAGACUGUAACUGACGCUGAGGCACGAAAGUGUGGGGAUCAAACAGGAUUAGAUACCCUAGUAGUCC
rnacentral:rRNA from 1 species